CUGGGCUGCUGAGUGCUGGGAAUACCACAAGCCAAGCAGGCUGCCUGAUGUGAAGAGAGCAGUGUGCUCUGUGACCUGGCUGUGACAGGGUGUGCAGGGGAGCUGAGCUCAGCAUGCGUGUUUGCAUGCACGAGUUCUCAAGAAUUCUGGCUCUUCCCCUGGGGAGAAUGCUCUUCGCUCGCCUUUUUCACUUCAGAAGGAAUAAUUACCAAUGUUUGUGGGUUUUCUUCAUUUGAGGACAAAACAAGAAGAAUUAUUAUCACAGACAGUAGUAUAUUUCUUCCCAUCUACCUGGACUGAUGAGAAUUCAUUUUUUUUGCUUGGACAACAUUUUAAAAAGACAAAAAAUUCAGCCAAUACAAUCAGCAAAAUCCUUCUCCUUCAUUAACUAAGUGCCCAAGAGACAAAUGGACAAAAGGUAGGUUCCUGUAUUCAAGGGGAGGUUGCAGAUUAAAUGAUGCAAUAAAUUUACCCCUGGGCUAGAAGCAAAUUUUCUUCUAGCAUAAAAGUCACCUUUUACAUUGGAAUACGUUGGAAUCUUUACAGGGCACAGGAUAAAAUGAUGGGGAGUAGCUCCUAAGAGCUAUGGGUAAUAUCAUGCAGAAGUGGUGAUGUUUUUCACUCUGUCACUGGAAACAGGCUGCAGGGGCUGCAGUCAUCCAGGUGGAGAGGAGAAGCUCCCUAAAAUGACAGGUUGUCUUUAAAUACUUGAAGUUUAGUAUGAACUAGUUGGCUUGCAACUAAAUCCCAUGGAAUGUUGUGCACAGUUAAACUGCUAAAACUCAUUAUUACAAA